AAGCAUUAGUCAUCUAUCGAACUUCUUAUUUUGUUCUAAAAACAUUAAUUUAUUUUCUACAGGCUGACUCAGGCAAUUACAGAGAAGAAUCAGAAAAAUCAGAAAAUAGUUGCAAGUCAUGGAUUUGUAAAAAUCUUCUAGGAUUUUGUUUUAUUAGCGUUCAAAUUAUUAUUCCUUAUGCUUUAACCUUGUUGGCAUGGGCAUUGGACGACAAUGUUUAUUCAGUUCUAGCUUUAAGAAACGGGUUAAAAAAAUAUAAUGAUGACUAUUUACUCCCUUUUCAAAUAUUGUAUUUCACUGAAGCGGGCUUAAUAAUUGUGUGGUUAUUUAUAGUAUUAAUUUUCCAUUCAUGUUGGGGUGGUAACUUUGAAAGAACUCUUCAACAUUUAAAAGUAAAUAUGAGUAAUUCAUGGGAGCAAACGAUCGAGGAAUUGAAAGAUCUAAAAAAAAAAAUGUUGUAGGUGUGAUCGCUUAGUAUCUAUUAUUUUAUUCCUAUAAACAUUAUAAAAUUUUUCGUUAUAAUGAUAAUUAGUCCGUUCAUCAUAAGUCCAGCCGCAAUUUUUUUUCAGAAUAUGCUUCCAUCUAAAAAAUUACAAAUGCUUAAUCCAUCUAAUAGGGUAUUCAUAAUACAAAUUAUACUUACUUUAAUCUUUCUUACUUAUGCUGCCCCAACGAUUCUCAUUACCGAAUUUUUUUUCACUUUUGUAGCUCUUAUUAUGCUUAACACACCCUUCAUUAGUAUUAUCUUAUCCGGUUUCGGUCUGUUUUUCCUCUACCUGAGAAAACUUGUUAGCAAAGUUGGCAAAGAAAUAGACGAUAAUUUACAAAACAUUGUCGACGUCAUCAAACAUGAGAUUGCCUUGCCUACAAUAAAUGAGAUUGCCUUCCCUACACUAAAUGAGAAUACCUUAACUACAAUAAAUGAGAUCACCUUAUCUACAAUAAAUAAGAAUGUUUUUCAUCCAAAUUCAAAUGAAACAGAUAAUUAUCCUGUGUUUUUUAUGCAUAUAGGCGAAGAGAAUUACGGCAAAGUCAACUUUAAGGUCGAUGAAUCACGUCUUUGUGUGAAAAUGAAAAACUGUAUCCUAUUCACCCUAAAAAAAAUAAAAUUUGUGUCUGUAAAAGAAUAUUGUUACAUAUGGUGUUCGCAAACGUUACAAAGAUGAUCUUACAAUUGCUUCUGAUCCUAAUUUUUCUGACUACUGUGGUUUGUACCGUAAUAUCUCUUGGUACAUUUGAAUACAUAACAACUUCUUACCAAGUGCUCAUUACACUCAUUAGUGGCAUCAUUCCUUUGGUGGUUGAAAUGCUAUCAGGAGUUCAAAGUAAAGAGACAUCAAUUAAUGAAAUUAAAAGGUCUGUAGCGGAACAUUUUAAAUCAUAUGAGGAACAAAUGGAAAUAACAGGUUUAGGUUUACCAGAAUUGAAUGAACCAUCUCCAAAAAUAGAAGAACCAAAUCUCAUUGUUUACACUUCUGAAAGAAAUUAUGUAUAGGAAUAAACUGAAAUCAUUUAAAUAAUAAAGAUCUAUAGAUAUUGUAGGGCAUUUUGCUUAAAUUUGUAUAAUCUAUUAUAUUUGCAUACAUUAUUCUAUCAGUCAUUUCUAUCUCACUACCUACAUACAUAGCUAUCUACGUAACUACUUAAACAAACUCUGUACUUAGGGGUGCAUUGCAUAGUCGCUCUGGCUCCGGCUCCUACUGAAAAUUACGCCAUUUUUUACUAUUCGGCCAUAUUCAGCUUCGGCCGAAUAUCACUGCAGGAUAGUUGGCCGGAUAGUAAAAACUGCACCGUAGUGUCAAGUAUCAAUAAAAAUAAACCUACGAUAGGGUAAUAGAAACAUAGUAUAAUUUAUCCCAGCGGGAAUAUGGGAAAUCCCACUUACUCGUGCUAGAGAAAACCAUGGCGUCACACAUCCGAUGACAGCGUAACAUAUGGCGGGGUAUGAUUGAAUUGGUUAUAGCAAGCGUCCGGGAAGGAGCGAAAAAAAAACGAUUGGGUAGUGAAAGAUAUAGAGAAUUUAGUUGUGGAGGAAAUAACAUAGAGAUAAGACGUAUUUUAGUUUUGAUUGUAACUUGAAGCGACAAGUCUUAUAUUUUAAUAAAUCUAGUAUUAUUCUGAUUAUAUUUUGUUAUUAGCUAUGAAAGAAGAUAUUCAUCUGAUACAGUUUUAUUUCUGUACAUACUGUAUAGUAUUGUGAUUCUAAGUUUUGAAUUAAAGUUCUGUAUUUGAAUUAAAAA
rnacentral:sRNA from 1 species